rnacentral:lncRNA from 1 species
AGUGAAAAGCUCUUGUAUGAUUCUGAGCAGAAUGAAGAACAUUGGUAUGUUGAAUAACUGGUCAAAUGUGCAUAAUAUAUUGGGCAUGAAAUCCAUCCAUGGAAGAUUUGAUGCAGAAUCUUUCUUAUCAGAAGGACUGAGUGAUAAAUGUUGUCCCAGUCUAUCUACCAGAUACUCUCCCAAUCAUCUAUAAACCAUGAGCUUGCCAC